rnacentral:lncRNA from 10 species
CUUAACCCUGUCCAGAAAAUCUGCUGAGUCACCGAGUAUCAAUCAAGAGAAAAAUAAUGCAGAGCUGCAAAAUGCUAAUCUCCUUCCUCCUGCUCUCCUUCCUAACAGCAAGCCGACUCACAGGGUACUCAAAGCCCAGCGGUGCCUACCUGCUGUUCUUCUCCACUUCGUAGAGGAAAAGCUCGCUGCUGCCACUGCAAACCCUGAUGUCAACUCUACUCUCACAAGCUGGGGACCCUAUCCCCAGAAAUUUCACAGGACCACACACCAGCUCCACAGCCUCCACCUUCUCCUGCUCUGCAAGCCAUCCUUGGGUUUUUUUCUGCAUUGCUUCAAGACUAAUCUAAGAUAAAAAUCUACUCUCAAACAUCGUAGCCAUUAGGGAACUGCAAAUUAAAACCACAAUCAGAUACCAGGCACAUCUAUAGGAAUGGCUAAAAUAAACAUUAUAACAUUGAGUACUGGCAACAAUGUGGAAAAACUGGAUCAUUGCUGGUGGGAAUGUAAAAUGGCACAGACACUCUGGGAAAGAGUACUGCAGUUUCUUACAAACUAAAUAUGCACUUACCAUAUGACCCAGCAAGCGCAGUCCUGGGCAUUAAUCCAGAGAAAUAAAAGCUUAUGUUCACACAAAAUCCUGUAACUGAAGGUUCAGAGCACCUUUAUGUAUAAUUGCCAUUAACUGGAAAUGACCCAUAUGUCCUUUAACAAAUGAAUGGUUAAAGAAGCUAUGGUACAUCUAUAACACGGAAUGCUACUCAGCAAUACAAAGGAAAGAACUAUUGAUGCACACAACAAAAUUAGAUGGCUAUCAAGGGAGUUCAGCUGAGUGAAAAAAGCAAUCUCGAAAGGUUAUAUACUAUAUGAUUCAAUGUAUAUAGCAUUCUUAAAAUGACAAAAUUACAGAAAUGGAGAAAAGAUUAGCAGUUGCCAGAGACUGGGGUUGAGGGGACAUGACUGUGGCUAUAAAAGGGUAACGAGAGAUCCUUGUGAUGGAACCUUUGCAUCCUGACUGUGGAAGCGGUCACACAAAUUUACACCUUUAAAAAAUGCAUAGAACACAACACACACACACACACACACACACACACACACAAAUGAGUGCAUAUAAAACUGGUGAAAUCCUAAAGUCAAUGGAUUGUAUCAAUGUCAAUCAUUAUCCUGUUGUGAUACUGGACUAUAGUUAUGCAAGAUGUUACCACUGGGGGAAACUGGAUGAAGAAUAUAUAGGAUCUCUAUAUUAUUUUUUAUAAUUGCAUGUAAAUCUACAGUUAGCUCAAAAUAAAAAGGUUUUUUUUUUUAAUCUCAUUAACUUCCAAUAGUUCCCUAAUGCCCACAGUGAAAUAUUUCUUAGCAUGGCAUGCAGAAUUUCACCCGACCUAUAAUCUCUUUACACAUCCUAUGCCCUGAACAACUAGUUCUAAGAGCUAACAUUUAUUGAGCACUGGCCAUGUGCCAGGUACCAUUUUAAAUAUUUUAUAUGUAUUAUCUCAUUUACUCCUCAGUGAUCCCAUGAGUCAGGUACUACUGUCAACCCCAUUUUAUAUACAAAUGACGUAAGUAGCUUAUCCAAAGUCCCAAUAUGUCACACGCUCUUUCCAUACCUUUGGGUCUGUACUUGUACCGCCUAAAAAGCCUCCCCACCUAAUCACCCUUUAAGGCCCUGCCCCAAUGUUACCUUCUGACUUUUUCCAGACUUAACUGUUACACUAAAUGUGUCUAGCACUCAGAUGUAAUGGAUAGAUGUUUAAUCAACAUAAGGUCUAGACAAAAGGACAUGAGGAAGUUAUAAAACUGGCACCACGAGAAGCAUUUGACACUGAUUACAUUAAGCCUGUUUCUCUGAAGUUAAACCUGAAUGGAAAAGCAUUCUAUAAUACACAGUAGGGUACAGAAAAGACUCAUUAGCAAGAAAAUGUUCAUUAAUAAAGCAAUGGCUUUAACACAACCAAAGAGGGAAAGGUAGUAUCAGGCUAAGGAAAGGCCAGUGUCAGCUGCAAAGUCCAUUAUCUUUCUCAAAUUUUCACAUAACAAAUACACCAACAAAAACCUCAACUUCCUAAACCUAGUCCAUUCUGCCUUAUUAGGUACUUUUGUAAGAAAAGGUAUAAUGCUUUUUUUCCUCAGGAAAAAGAAUAUUUUCUCGAGGUAAAAACGCAUCUUCAUUAUUUCCCUUGGAGGAAAUUAGAUUAUUAUCUAAAGACUGCUUAACUUAUGAAUUCGCUUGAAAAACAUACUGAUAAUCCCACAACUAUCUAGAAUUGUUCUGAAAUCUGAGUCUCUCCAAAGGAUUCACAUUUUAUUUUAUUUUUUAUUUUUUUGGAGACGGAGUCUCACUCUGUUGCCCAGGCUGGAGUGCAGUGGCGUGAUCUUGGCUCACUGCAACCUCUGCCUCCUGGAUUCAAGCAAUUCUCCUGCCUCCCUCCUGAGUAGCUGGGAGUACAGGUGCCCACCACCACACCUCACUAAUUUUUGUAUUUUUAGCAGAGACAGGGUUUCACCGUGUUGGCCAGGCUGGUCUCAAACUCCUGACCUCAAGUGACCCACCCACCUCAACCUCCCAAAGUGCUGGGAUUACAAGCAUGAGCCACUGUGCCUGGCCAGGUUCACAUUUUAAACACACAUGACAGAAAGUAGAAGAAAACACCAAUUUUGUUUAGGUACAUGAAUGAAGCUUAAUUGGCUUUAUAUUC